rnacentral:ncRNA from 2 species
AACGGGUGAAUAGCGUAUGGGUCUCAGCACCGAUGCUGAGGUCACGAGGAGGAGGUUCCCCAUAAAUAUAUGGGGCUAACCCCAGGUAUGUCUGGGGGAAAAUCGAGAAAUCAACGGAUGCCUCCAAAGCCCGCCACAGGCUUCUUUCCCCUUCCGAAGAAGCACCAGUACAAAACCUUCUGGCGACAGAGGAACAAAAACUGGUGCGGUGGUACGU